rnacentral:lncRNA from 1 species
GGCCUAUUGAUAAAAAGCAGGAAAAGUUUCUACAAUUUGUUUAUGUUAGUUUGUUUUUUCGUUAUUUUGUUUUUGUUUUUAUUUUUCUGGCUUAUUUUGUUUUGUUCUUCUUAUGUCAGCUUGUUGCUCGUGUGUGUGCAAAAAAUAAUGUGAUUGCAUUUUGUUUUGGAUAUGUCAUAUAAAAUGAAUUUAAAAAAGAGAAAAAAUAUGUACAAUUUACUGUUAAGUGAGAAGUAUUAAGAAUGCUUAAUAGGCGAGUUUAUAGGUAGCUGAUAUUUUAGUAAAAUAGGUUUGUUUUGUUUUAAAUAAAGUCUAUAAAUUGUUUAAAUAUUAAACACUAUUAUGGUCGCCCAAAAUUAAAUAUGU